rnacentral:rRNA from 1 species
GGUGAGUAACACGUGGGUAACCUGCCCAUCAGAAGGGGAUAACACUUGGAAACAGGUGCUAAUACCGUAUAACAAUCGAAACCGCAUGGUUUUGAUUUGAAAGGCGCUUUCGGGUGUCGCUGAUGGAUGGACCCGCGGUGCAUUAGCUAGUUGGUGAGGUAACGGCUCACCAAGGCCACGAUGCAUAGCCGACCUGAGAGGGUGAUCGGCCACAUUGGGACUGAGACACGGCCCAAACUCCUACGGGAGGCAGCAGUAGGGAAUCUUCGGCAAUGGACGAAAGUCUGACCGAGCAACGCCGCGUGAGUGAAGAAGGUUUUCGGAUCGUAAAACUCUGUUGUUAGAGAAGAACAAGGAUGAGAGUAACUGUUCAUCCCUUGACGGUAUCUAACCAGAAAGCCACGGCUAACUACGUGCCAGCAGCCGCGGUAAUACGUAGGUGGCAAGCGUUGUCCGGAUUUAUUGGGCGUAAAGCGAGCGCAGGCGGUUUCUUAAGUCUGAUGUGAAAGCCCCCGGCUCAACCGGGGAGGGUCAUUGGAAACUGGGAGACUUGAGUGCAGAAGAGGAGAGUGGAAUUCCAUGUGUAGCGGUGAAAUGCGUAGAUAUAUGGAGGAACACCAGUGGCGAAGGCGGCUCUCUGGUCUGUAACUGACGCUGAGGCUCGAAAGCGUGGGGAGCAAACAGGAUUAGAUACCCUGGUAGUCCACGCCGUAAACGAUGAGUGCUAAGUGUUGGAGGGUUUCCGCCCUUCAGUGCUGCAGCUAACGCAUUAAGCACUCCGCCUGGGGAGUACGACCGCAAGGUUGAAACUCAAAGGAAUUGACGGGGGCCCGCACAAGCGGUGGAGCAUGUGGUUUAAUUCGAAGCAACGCGAAGAACCUUACCAGGUCUUGACAUCCUUUGACCACUCUAGAGAUAGAGCUUCCCCUUCGGGGGCAAAGUGACAGGUGGUGCAUGGUUGUCGUCAGCUCGUGUCGUGAGAUGUUGGGUUAAGUCCCGCAACGAGCGCAACCCUUAUUGUUAGUUGCCAUCAUUCAGUUGGGCACUCUAGCAAGACUGCCGGUGACAAACCGGAGGAAGGUGGGGAUGACGUCAAAUCAUCAUGCCCCUUAUGACCUGGGCUACACACGUGCUACAAUGGGAAGUACAACGAGU